GCCUGGGUGGUGGAAUUGGUAGACACAAGGGACUUAAAAUCCCUUGGCGCUUGUCGCCGUGCGGGUUCGAGCCCCGCCCCGGGCACCA
rnacentral:tRNA from 1 species